rnacentral:rRNA from 1 species
CAGCCGCCGCGGGAAUACGUAGGUGGCAAGCGUUGUCCGGAAUUAUUGGGCGUAAAGCGCGCGCAGGUGGUUUAAUAAGUCUGAUGUGAUAGCCCACGGCUCAACCGUGGAGGGUCAUUGGAAACUGUUAAACUUGAGUGCAGGAGAGAAAAGUGGAAUUCCUAGUGUAGCGGUGAAAUGCGUGGAGAUUAGGAGGAACACCAGUGGCGAAGGCGGCUUUUUGGCCUGUAACUGACACUGAGGCGCGAAAGCGUGGGGAGCAAACAGGAUUGGAUACCCCCGUAGUCCCUGUCUCUUAUAC